rnacentral:lncRNA from 1 species
AUUUUUGGUAACAGGAGCCCUUGUAGGUGAUGGAAAGUCUUCUGUCUGGAACUCUUCCUUUCUGGAGAGAUCACUGGAAAAAAGUUAAGAGAGUCUCUUGCAACUCCUAUUCCAGCAGACCCUGGUGAUGGUCCGAGCAGUCAGUGUGUUGUUUCAGCACCCAGAAAAUGAAAAAAAUGGGAGUAAAAUCCUCAUAAAUCAGACCAACUGGCAAGCCACAGAAAGAUUGCUGAAGCCAGUUCUGAAAUAUCACUUUUACUCAGCUAAAUCAAAUCAUCGUUUGUUUUCUGAAAAACCAGUUCUGCAACAGCUCAAGAAGAAACAGCAGUUGAACUGAGAUAACCACUCAUGCCAGGACCCAACAACAAAGGUCUCCCACUUGUCAAUGAACACAAGAAGUUUCCUAACAGAACAAGUAGUCAUUUUGAUGCCUAGUGUUGUUCCCCCAGUUUCCCCAUGUAUAGAACUUUUGCUUUCUCCAAAUGGAGGUAAGAAC